GUGUCAGCAGCCGCGGUAAGACGUGGGGGGCCAGCGUUGUUCGGAAUUACUGGGUGUAAAGGGUUCGUAGGCGGUGUGGCAAGUCGGGAGUGAAAUCUCUAGGCUCAACCUAGAGUCUGCUUCCGAAACUGCUGUGCUUGAGUGUGGGAGAGGCGCGUGGAAUUGCAGGUGUAGCGGUGAAAUGCGUAGAUAUCUGCAGGAACACCCGUGGCGAAAGCGGCGCGCUGGACCACUACUGACGCUGAGGAACGAAAGCUAGGGGAGCAAACAGGAUUAGAUACCCUGGUAGUCCUAGCCCUAAACGAUCAGGACUUGGGGUGCCACCCGUUCGGGUGUCGUCCCGGAGCUAACGCGUUAAGUCCUGCACCUGGGGAGUACGGUCGCAAGACUGAA
rnacentral:rRNA from 1 species